AAUUAGACAUCGUUCAUGGCGGCGCUCAGCAGUAAUGUUGGGUGAGAAGUUGACUCAUAUCGGUGAAACCCAUUUUGGGCAAUACCGAGGGAAGUUUUAUAAUUAUGAUUUCAUGAUUAUCUAAAACACCCGUAGAGACUACACGUCAACUAUCCUGUGUAAAACAGGAUAAUGGUAUAGUCCAAUCCACGUAGCAAUACGUGA
rnacentral:ncRNA from 1 species